AGAUUGAACGCUGGCGGCAGGCCUAACACAUGCAAGUCGAGCGGCAGCACGGGUACUUGUACCUGGUGGCGAGCGGCGGACGGGUGAGUAAUGCCUAGGAAUCUGCCUGGUAGUGGGGGGAUAACGCUCGGAAACGGACGCUAAUACCGCAUACGUCCUACGGGAGAAAGCAGGGGACCUUCGGGCCUUGCGCUAUCAGAUGAGCCUAGGUCGGAUUAGCUAGUUGGUGAGGUAAUGGCUCACCAAGGCGACGAUCCGUAACUGGUCUGAGAGGAUGAUCAGUCACACUGGAACUGAGACACGGUCCAGACUCCUACGGGAGGCAGCAGCGGGAAUAUUGGACAAUGGGCGAAAGCCUGAUCCAGCCAUGCCGCGUGUGUGAAGAAGGUCUUCGGAUUGUAAAGCACUUUAAGUUGGAGAAGGCAGUUACCUAAUACGUAUCUGUUUUGACGUUACCGACAGAAUAAGCAACCGGCUAAACUCUGUG
rnacentral:rRNA from 1 species